UCCCUGGUGGCUCAGAUGGUAAAGCGCCUAUCUACAAUGCAGGAGACCCAGAUUCGAUCCCUGGGUUGGGAA
rnacentral:tRNA from 1 species